rnacentral:rRNA from 1 species
UACGUAGGGAGCAAGCGUUGUUCGGAUUUACUGGGCGUAAAGGGCGCGUAGGCGGCCAGCACAAGUCAGUUGUGAAAUCUCCGAGCUUAACUCGGAAAGGUCAACUGAUACUGUGCGGCUAGAGUGCGGAAGGGGUAACUGGAAUUCUUGGUGUAGCGGUGAAAUGCGUAGAUAUCAAGAGGAACACCUGCGGCGAAGGCGGGUUGCUGGGCCGACACUGACGCUGAGGCGCGAAAGCCAGGGGAGCAAACAGG